rnacentral:misc_RNA from 1 species
GUUCAUAUAAAAGUACCCCUCCUGGUGGUGUCGGGACCAGCAUUGCAUUAGAGACUAUAAUUCAGCAUUCUGCUGUAGAUUUGAAGCCCAUCCGAAAUGAGGGGAACACUAGUGUCCUGAUUUGCUCACGAGGAGGAGGUGGACUAUUGUUAGAACGCAUGGAACUUGUUGCGGAGCUAUGGGAGGAGAAGAUUAAGGCUCAACUUGUCCCUACACCUGAUCCCAGCCUCACAGAGCAGUAUGAAUAUGCUAACGAGCAUGACAUAAAAUGUCUUGUUAUUAUUACAGACUCUGGUGUAUCUAACACAGGUUCAGUGAAGGUUCGACAUCUAGAACUCAAAAAGGAGAAGGAAGUCAAACGCACAUCCAUU